GUCAAAAAUGGAUCCAGUCUCCUACAUACUUCCAUGCUCAGUAAUGGAACCCCUUGUAAGCAUUCCUAAGGGCAACUAGGAUAAACAACUCAAAGAUGCUUCUCCCAGGAUAAGAGAGGUUGAUUGAGAAGCUAUAAGUGUGCUUAACUUAGAGAUAACCCUUAAGAUCACAUACCAUUCCUGUUAACACAUCAGAAGAUGGACAGCUCUACCAGGUAUUUACAGACAAUGUCUGCUUCUGCCUAAGGCCAAGCUUAUAGAUCCAAGUGGCAGGUGGGAUCU
rnacentral:sRNA from 1 species